rnacentral:rRNA from 1 species
GUAGGGAAUAUUGGGCAAUGGAUGCAAGUCUGACCCAGCCAUCCCGCGUGCCGGAAGAAGGCCCUCAGGGUUGUAAACGGCUUUUGACGGUGAAGAAUCGACAGGAUGCGUCCUGUGUUGACGGUAGCCGUUGAAUAAGCACCGGCUAACUCCGUGCCAGCAGCCGCGGUAAUACGGAGGGUGCGAGCGUUGUCCGGAUUUAUUGGGUUUAAAGGGUGCGUAGGCUGGAAGGUCAGUCAGCGGUGAAAAGCUGUCGCUUAACGAUAGUCUUGCCGCAGAUACUUCCUUUCUUGGAUGAGGAGGAGGCCACUGGAACGGAUGGUGUAGCGGUGAAAUGCAUAGAUAUCAUCCAGAACACCGAUUGCGAAGGCAGGUGGCUGUACCUUAAUCGACGCUGAUGCACGAAAGCAUGGGGAGCAAACAGGAUUAGAUACCCUUGUAGUCC